rnacentral:rRNA from 1 species
UGGGGAAUUUUGGACAAUGGGCGAAAGCCUGAUCCAGCAAUGCCGCGUGUGUGAAGAAGGCCUUCGGGUUGUAAAGCACUUUUGUCCGGAAAGAAAUCCUUGGCUCUAAUACAGUCGGGGGAUGACGGUACCGGAAGAAUAAGCACCGGCUAACUACGUGCCAGCAGCCGCGGUAAUACGUAGGGUGCAAGCGUUAAUCGGAAUUACUGGGCGUAAAGCGUGCGCAGGCGGUUUGCUAAGACCGAUGUGAAAUCCCCGGGCUCAACCUGGGAACUGCAUUGGUGACUGGCAGGCUAGAGUAUGGCAGAGGGGGGUAGAAUUCCACGUGUAGCAGUGAAAUGCGUAGAGAUGUGGAGGAAUACCGAUGGCGAAGGCAGCCCCCUGGGCCAAUACUGACGCUCAUGCACGAAAGCGUGGGGAGCAAACAGGAUUAGAUACCCUGGUAGUCCACGCCCUAAACGAUGUCAACUAGUUGUUGGGGAUUCAUUUCCUUAGUAACGUAGCUAACGCGUGAAGUUGACCGCCUGGGGAGUACGGUCGCAAGAUUAAAACUCGAAGGAAUUGAC